rnacentral:lncRNA from 10 species
AGAGAACAUUCGCACCUGGUUCAAUGCGGACCCUUGUUCCCGAGGUCGGGGGGGAUGGGGCAGAGAGCGCCUUUUUACCCUUGUACGGAAACUGAAGACAGUUCUGAGGCUCAGAGAUAGGAGAAACGGCAUCGAGUACAGGACCCCGAGGACUUAAGCCUCGGCUCCCGAAGGAAUGCGCCCCUACCCCCAUCCCCAAUUCUAGCCCUAAUUCAGUGCAAAGCGUGGAAGCAGACCUUCAUCCCCUAACCUCCAGCCCUCGGGCUCGAGCAAUACUAGCACUGUUCCUGCGUUUGGAAGCAGAAAGUGGAGGAUCCAAAAUAAGAGAAUACGAUAACCUACUUUACGAUACUGGGUACUUUAUUUAUUUAUUUUUUUAAAGAAGACAGCGCAUUUAUUUAUUUAUUUUUCUCGGCCAUGUGUGGGAAUAUUAAGGAAACUGUCAAAUCCCUGAGACACCAGCAGAUAAACACUGUGCAAAACCUACGUGCGAAGACAUUUGAAGGGGGUGUCUGCCCGGUUCUGAGCUGGGCCCCAGGGGUAGGGAGUGCGAGGUGUGGUUAUGUGGGCAGGGUGGUCAGUUCGGGAUGACAAGGCGGGGUGUGCUUCCUGCGGGGAACUCAAAUCUGCGCUGAGGGCUGGUUCGGUCCCGCCAGGAAGCUGUGCUUACGGGAGCCCGCAGCGGGUGAUUUUCCAGCGCGGACUUGGAGGGUGGAGGACGGGGGCUGGAAGGACAGUGUCCAGCUGCGCCUGGGCGGAAUACCUCGACUGCUGGGACCCCAGGAGCGGCUCCACGUCCUGGAACACGGGGCUUUGGGGAGGCAAGGUGCUCCAGAGUGUGCCACGCCCCCCAAUCUCCUGCCCUGCUGCGUAGGACAGCCGGGGUCACGCUGCCGGGGCUCAGCCCCAGCGCGCUGGCCACCUCCAGGGCGCGAAGACGCAUGUCCCCGCACAGCCCCGGUCUUCCCUUCUCCACUCUUCGGGCCCGGGGGUCGGGGCCCGCGGUGGGCACCUGGAGAGGGGCGAGGCAGGAUGAGGCCGGCGGGCGGAUAGUUCGGGGCGCGCGGGGAGCCGGACCGCAGACCUGCCUCCAGCCGCCGCGCCCGGGAGCCAGGAGAUCCUGCUAUAGAUAGUAACAGGGAAGCGGCUGUUUACAGCAACACAGCGCCGCCAGGGCCGUCUCCAGGCAACGCCGCGCGGCCGGGCGCGCCGUCGGCCUGGCGAGGCCACCCUCCCUCCCAGCUCCCCUGGGCCGCGGCCUCCCCGGCCCGGCCGCGGCCGCUCCCGUCGCCUGACAUCAUCCGCCGGGUCCGGGGGCUGAGCGGCCCGCGCGAGGCUGUGCGCUAACCUCCAUUCUUAGAGAUCCAACCCGGCAGGAGCGGGGAGGGCAGGAGGCGGGGAUUCGUGGAACUGGGCCACUUGCUAUUUUUGCAUUCCCUGUCACAGGCAGAGGUCCAAAGCAUCUCGGCCAAUACCUAAAAGAUGUGUCAAGAUUUUAUAUCCAGGAUUUAUCUCAAAUACACUUAUCCUGCCUUUGCCAAUUAAAAAAAAAA